UUUGGCAUCAAUUGUCUUGAGAUUUCAUUGACAGGAUGUAUGGAUGAACCGAUAAUUGAAUAGAGAAACUCAUCAAGAUUCGACCUUUUUAUCUCUCAAGCUGUCAAGCAGAAUUGAGUAAACUGCUUAUUCAAUCAGAUAAAAUAAAUUAUCAAGUAGGACAUUAAACCAUACUUACUGGGUAAUCAGGUUGAUGUUUGAGGAUGUGCGUGUAACCAAGUGCGAAAGUAUAUGGGCUCUCAGCUGAUGCAAGCUCUCUCAAAUCAAUUUUCCUAAGUCUGUUUUCAACUUUCUGCAUGUCCUCAAGUUGCUUUUGAAGUUCUUGACCAACAAGAUC
rnacentral:lncRNA from 1 species